AGAGACCUGAGGGCGGGAGGCGCUCCGAGCUUAGGCUGGUCCGCGAGGCCGGCGCGGGCGCGCACCUCUGCUCAAUUGGGGCCUGGAGCCUCUAUAUAGGGCCUCAGAGGAAACCGAAUGGCCUCCGGGAGGAAACCUGGUUACUUUCUUCAGAUAUUCUAAAGCACCAAAAUGAACAAUAUAAGGCGUGGAACAUCGGGAGGGAAGAGCUCAGAAUCUUCAUAAAACCUCUUAAAUCAUCAAAACGGUGAAAUUAGGAAUUUUCAUCCCAGUUCUUUAAUAGAGCAAACACAGGCUUAUGGUUUUUUACUAGGAAAACCAUUUAAAUACCUUUUUGUUUUGGUUAGAGUUGUUAACCAGCAAAAAUAUUUCCUAAAUACCCGUGAUUGACCUGUUAAAUUAGAAAUAGAUUACCUCCCAAUUACUUCACAAGUAUUUGCUUAAUUAACCUUUAAUAAUCACAUCAUUAUUCAGUUUUUCUGAGAUAAUUAAUGAGAAAAGCUCUUUGGAAACUGUAAAUUGCCUUGCAAAUGUUAAUUUCCUGGUAUCUUUUCUAAGUCUGGAAAAAUUUCAUUAUAUUAAACCUAUAACAUGUGUAAUAUGA